CCCAACUGCGCGCUAACCU
rnacentral:snRNA from 1 species